rnacentral:rRNA from 1 species
AUAUCAAUAAGCGGAGGAAAAGAAACCAACAGGGAUUGCCCUAGUAACGGCGAGUGAAGCGGCAACAGCUCAAAUUUUAAAUCUGCCUUCGGCCCGAGUUGUAGUCUAUAGAGGAUGUCUUCUGACGCAGUGCCUUCCGAGUUCCCUGGAACGGGACGCCAUAGAGGGUGAGAGCCCCGUAUAGAUGGACGCCGAGCCUCUGUAAUGCUCCUUCGACGAGUCGAGUAGUUUGGGAAUGCUGCUCAAAAUGGGAGGUAAAUUUCUUCUAAAGCUAAAUACCGGCCAGAGACCGAUAGCGCACAAGUA